GGCUGAGAUCUUAUGUGUCCUUCAGCCCCAGGUCCCUCUCAGAGCUGUCUGUGCCCCUUCCUCUAUGCCCGGGUGGCCAGCACCAGUCAGGUCGGCUCCACAGCAGCAGAGUCUGACUGUUGCCAGUGACUUCACCUCUCUGACCUGCAGUCUCUUCAUCAGUCUCUUACUUGUUACUCUUCAUCCUUGCUGCCAGGGUGGUCAUGAGGGCUGACUGAGGAACAGGCUGUGCACACGCAGCUCAGGACCUUGUGAGAGCAUCAGGCCUGCCAACAACCCCAUGGUACAACAAGAAAAUGGCUGUGCUGGAGCCCUGGACGCCGGAAAUCUGAGAUGAAGGUGCCGGCAGGGCCCUGCCCGCUCUGAAGUCUCUGGGGGAAGCUUCUUUGCCUCUUCCAGCUUCUGGUGGCUCCACGCACUGCUGGGCUCGUGGCUGCCUCCCUCUGGUCUCUGCCCCGGUCUGCACGUGGCCUUCCCUGCGUGUUUCUGUGUCCUUGCUGCUGCUUAGAAGCACAGCAGCCAUUGGAUUAGGACCCACUCUCAUCCAGCAUGGCCUCAUCUUAACUCAUUACGUCUACAAAAUCUCCAUUUCCAAAUAAGGUCCCAUUCUGGGGUCCUGAGUGGACACGGCGGGGACACCAUCAACCCAUCCUAAGGCCUUCUUGGGCAGCCUCAGGGGGAAGCCGGACCAGCCUUAAGUGAAAGUGGAGGGUUCCAAGGAUCCUACAAAGGGGCCCUGACCCAGUCGGUGGGCAGCAGGGGACAGAGUGGACGUGGAACUUGUAGACAGACAGAACGAUGCACAGGACUCACCCCCACCACCAGAGGUCUGUGUGCAGAGACGACAGAGGGCAGCGUCCCUCCCACUGCCCAUCACCCAUGGAGUGUGGAAAAUCCCGGUCAAGACAGCAGCCCGGGCCGUGAAAUCGAAUCUGGGGGUCCCAAGCAUCGGCGUUUGUGCAGCUCUCGGUGGUUCCAAAGUCAGCCAAGAUCUCGGUUCUGGGCCGCCAGGGGCUCUGGAGUCAGACACCUCGUGUCUAAGUCUCCACCAGUUACUGACCGAGCGACCUCAGCAGUACGUUCACCGCUCCGGGUGUCCCUGUCCCCUGUGGAUGGCAUCAUUGCCUCCCUUAUGGAGAUGAGAAGAAUCAAACGGGAACGUUGGCUCCGUGCCUGUCACGAGGGAAGUGCUUGAUAGACGGUGCCCUUCUGCGCCACGUAGAGAGAAAACCGAGGGAGCCUCAUUUAAACUGCAGGCCUGGGAAGGCCUGUGGACUUUCAGGGAAGCUGAGAAGGGGCCCUGGCACCGGUCUGCAUGCCAGCUGGGCAGGGCAGGGUGAGCCUGGUGCAUAUACCUGGGGCCACACAGCAGGGCCUCAUGCUUCUUUUUUGGACCCACUUGACGGAUGGGGAGACUGAGUUCAGAGAGGCCAAGUGGCUUGCCAGGGUCACGCAGCUGAUACACAGCAAAUGGAUUUUAAACCCACCUGACCGCAAUUCCAAGCAUUGUUUUCUUGGGUCAAACCUUGGGAGCUCAAAGGGUGAUCCUGACCUGUGAUGGCUCCAUUUUAUGCAGAAUAUUUUGUUUUGUUUUUUAAUUUGCCUGUUUACUCUAAUGUUCCCAGUCGUUUUCCUCCCAGGGAUCCUCACUCACAAGUGGACUCUGACGGCCUCGGGGGCUCAGAUUUCACAAUCGGCUAAGGCUAACAUAAGGCCUUCCAGGUUACAAGGCUGAAAGUUAUUUUCCAUCAUUCAUUUGUUCACUUUACAUAACAUGCACCUAUUGAGCACCUGCUGUAUACUGGGAACCAAGUUAAACACCAGGUUUGCAGAGGUGGACAAGGCCCUGUUCCUGCCUCCAGGGUCUCCAACCCAUCAGGAGACGCAGGCCCUUUGACAGACACUGGUGAUAAAAUGACAGUGGAGGUCUGUUCAAGAUACAGGCAAGUUGGAUGGGUGGGGUGGGAAUGCCCACUGCCCUUGAGGGUGGGCAGGGGACAGAGGUGUCAUUUACGGUGGGUGUCAAGGAGUUUGGUUCAGAACAAGAGCAAAGGCGUGUGCCCCAGGAUGUGGGACAGCACGUGGGAAGACAAGGUGAGGCAGACUUUGGGGACUAUCAGGGGCUCCAAGUGGUUGGUGUUGGGGGUGUCGAGAAGUGGAGGUGGAGGCCAGGACAGGACAGGGGCUGGGUGAGAGGCUAGUGCAGACAGGCAGAGGGAGGCAUGGCAGGGCAGUGAUGGGAGGAGGAGGGCCGCUGGGGUAAGGUGUAGUCUCAGUAGUUCCGUGGGUCUGGCUGCUUCCCAGGAGCUGACUAGACCCUCAUGGCCAAGUUCAUAGUCCUAUGCAGUCUGACCUUAGCCUACCUGCCCAGCCCAAUCCCUCUGCAGCUGCCACUCACACCUUCCAGCCGAGAACAUCUUCCCAGCUAGGAAACCGUCACACCUGUACACCUUUGCACCUGCUUGUCCCCUCACUCCCUGGGGCAUGCCCACCCGUGCAUCAGUUGAAGCCCAAAUGUGCCAUCAUCUGAGAAACAUUCCCAGUGUCCCCACAAAAAGAGGCUGGUGCCUCCUCUCGGCCACUGCAGCCUGGACAUCUGCCUAUUCAUUCAUGCUGUCGCCACACUGCACUGCCAUGGCUCAUGUAUGUGAGUUUCCUCUUCCCUGCUGUUGAGUGUAGGCUUCUUAAUUAUCUCUAUAUAUCACUAGCCCCUAGGAACAAGGUUCGCCACACAGUAGCUGCUCAGGGCUUUUGAUGAAAGAAGGAAUGAGAUUGCUGGCAAGGUAGGUGGGGGGAUGGUGGGAUGGAUGGAUGGAUGACUGGAUGG